UACGGAGGAUCCAAGCGUUAUCCGGAAUCAUUGGGUUUAAAGGGUCCGUAGGCGGUUUGGUAAGUCAGUGGUGAAAGCCCAUCGCUCAACGGUGGAACGGCCAUUGAUACUGCCAGACUUGAAUUAUUAGGAAGUAACUAGAAUAUGUAGUGUAGCGGUGAAAUGCUUAGAUAUUACAUGGAAUACCGAUUGCGAAGGCAGGUUACUAUCAAUACAUUGACGCUGAUGGACGAAAGCGUGGGGAGCGAACAGG
rnacentral:rRNA from 1 species